rnacentral:rRNA from 1 species
GAUGAACGCUGGCGGCGUGCCUAAUACAUGCAAGUCGAGCGAACAGACGAGGAGCUUGCUCCUCUGACGUUAGCGGCGGACGGGUGAGUAACACGUGGAUAACCUACCUAUAAGACUGGGAUAACUUCGGGAAACCGGAGCUAAUACCGGAUAAUAUAUUGAACCGCAUGGUUCAAUAGUGAAAGACGGUUUUGCUGUCACUUAUAGAUGGAUCCGCGCCGCAUUAGCUAGUUGGUAAGGUAACGGCUUACCAAGGCAACGAUGCGUAGCCGACCUGAGAGGGUGAUCGGCCACACUGGAACUGAGACACGGUCAAGACUCCUACGGGAGGCAGCAGUAGAGAAUCUUCCGCAAUGGGCGAAAGCCUGACGGAGCAACACCGCGUGAGUGAUGAAGGUCUUCGGAUCGUAAAACUCUGUUAUUAGGGAAGAACAAAUGUGUAAGUAACUAUGCACGUCUUGACGGUACCUAAUCAGAAAGCCACGGCUAACUACGUG